GUCGGAUGGGUAUUUUUUUGAAAUCUGUUAGUGGGGAAAGAAUGUAUCUCCCAUCUUCUCAUCUGAGUUCAAGUUAAGCCUAUUAAAUGUCCCGAACUUAUUCGCUUGACAUUUUGGAUGAUCAAAGAAAAAGCGUCUCAACAUUUUUUUUUGUCACAUAAUAAUCCAUGUGUGUGUGUUUCCAGUGACCACUGUUCCUGCCCCUCUUUGCUCUGUGGCUCUUCCCACUUCGUCCAGGCCUGCCUCUGGAUAGUGUUCUCGUCGUUUGGCGGUCACACUGUGCAGCUGGGAACUGUUUCUCAACGCCUUGGGUGGAUCCAUGAAAUUCCAGAGUGAAAGGAUUCAUGGCCUCUUGCAGGUGUCAUGUGUUCAAACUCCUCAGACUGGUGAACGUCACUGGUUUCUGAAUUCAUCCGACUCCUCGGCAGUAUUAGUGGGUUUUUCUACUCACAACCCAGCUUCAUCUCAAAAAAGGCUGGUUAAUUGAAGCAGCUGUUGUGGGUUUUAAAGAAAACCAGAGCUGGAUUGUGGGGGUUCAAGACCAAGCAUGUGUGCGCGUGCGGCUUGGUGUGUCUAGUUUGGAGUAUCGGGUGUAAAUGACCAUGAAGAACUUGUAGGUAAUGAAGUUUCUACAGUGAGAUACGAGGCCUUGGAGACACCUGAAGCUCACUCGAAAUGUCAAUAUGAACUCUAUGAAAUAAAGUACCGACGUCUGUCUCUAGUGUUUUUUCACGUUAAAAUGUGUGACAAAGAAAUAAACCUAAAUACGGUGGUUAUGGAUGAGAAUUCAAGCAUGCAACAUGAAUAACACAGUUUGUGGUGUGUUUUUAAAUAUGAUGUGAAUGCAUUGGAAUUUUGUAUAUAUACACAACUCCAUAUAUGAAUUUUGGGAUUCCAUUACA